AAAGGCUCCGAUCGAAGCCGUUGAUGCUCUUUCAGUAGCAUUCUAUGGUCAAACGGAAGCCGAUAAGAAAACUUUCAUUGACGGUCGCUGUUCAGUUCUAUCGUAUAACUGAAACCGCAACAAUUUUUCUGGAAGGACAUUU